rnacentral:lncRNA from 1 species
UAGAGAGGAAGAGAAAGGUAGAGGGAAAAAAAAGGGAGGUGGAGAAAGAGAGAGAGAGAGAGAGAAAAAAUUUCUCUCGAAGUGUUUAUUUUCUACUUAGUUUCUCCAAUUACAAGAGAGGGAUUAAUUAUUGUUAUCUUCUUUUAUUUUGAGAGAAGUUAUUGUAAUUUUCCCACUAUAAUGAAAUCCUCCUAUACUUGCCCGUGGACGUAGAAUAAAUUGGGUGAACCACGUAAAUCUUUUGUGUCCAUUUUUUAGCUGCAUUUUCUCAAUUCCACUUCCGUUGCAAGCCAAACUUGUCCCACGUUUUCUAAAUGGAUUCCUCAGCGGCUGGAUGUACAUACAGAAUACCCAAAUGAUGUCUUAUAACAAAUGUAUGGAUGGAGCAAAAAAGGUUACUUCAUUUUCAACCAAAAUUUCUCAGUAUGUCAUAUACUUAACUUAAAAGAUCGC